GAUGAACGCUGGCGGCGUGCCUAAUACAUGCCAGUCGAGCGAACGGACGAGAAGCUUGCUUUUCUGAUGUUAGCGGCGGACGGGUGAGUAACACGUGGAUAACCUACCUAUAAGACUGGGAUAACUUCGGGAAACCGGAGCUAAUACCGGAUAAUAUUUUGAACCGCAUGGUUCAAAAGUGAAAGACGGUCUUGCUGUCACUUAUAGAUGGAUCCGCGCUGCAUUAGCUAGUUGGUAAGGUAACGGCUUACCAAGGCAACGAUGCAUAGCCGACCUGAGAGGGUGAUCGGCCACACUGGAACUGAGACACGGUCCAGACUCCUACGGGAGGCAGCAGUAGGGAAUCUUCCGCAAUGGGCGAAAGCCUGACGGAGCAACGCCGCGUGAGUGAUGAGGGUCUUCGGAUCGUAAAACUCUGUUAUUAGGGAAGAACAUAUGUGUAAGUAACUGUGCACAUCUUGACGGUACCUAAUCAGAAAGCCACGGCUAACUACGUG
rnacentral:rRNA from 1 species